AGUGGCAAUAGCACGUUAAAUACACCAGUUCUCAAAGGGUCACUCAAGUUCAGGAGCGUCGGGCUUGGUUGGUAGCCGAAUGGGUGACCGUCUGGGCAAUCGCUCUGUCUGCCUUUC
rnacentral:rRNA from 1 species